rnacentral:rRNA from 1 species
UACGAAGGGGGCAAGCGUUGUUCGGAAUACUGGGCGUAAAGGGCGCGCAGGCGGCUUGUUAAGUCAGAUGUGAAAGCCCCGGGCUCAACCUGGGAAUAGCAUUUGGGACUGAUGGGCUAGAGAUCGGGAGAGGAGAGUGGAAUUCCCAGUGUAGAGGUGAAAUUCGUAGAUAUUGGGAAGAACACCGGUGGCGAAGGCGGCUCUCUGGACCGAUACUGACGCUG